CUCCGCCUCCAAGUUUACUUUCUCUGCAGACUUCUACAGUCCAUGCUGCAGACAAGUUUGUUUUACAAAGAUGUCGAACAAACGUGCUAAUCUAAGUUGCUCAGUUGUUGGCUGCUUAAAAAGACGUCUGAAGAUGUGAAGACCCGGUGGAUGGAUUUUAUUUUUGACGGAACAGUGCCCACAACAACAGCUAAAAUGCUGUAUGUGUGAGCUAACCACUUCACCUCAGACUGCUUUUCUAACAAGGGACAGUACAAUGCAGGCUUUGCAGAAAAACUGCAGAUGAAACAUGGAUCAAUUCCGACUGUCCGUGACCCACAUUCAAACUCCGGAGCUGCCAGCACAUCAGAUGUAACUGUGGAGUUUCAUGCAACAAGGGAUGUUGCAUGUCAGACUGACCAGCUGCAGACACAUAGUGUAGGCACACAGCUGUCCCUGCAGACUCUUCAGCCUCAUGUCAGAAGUAAAGGUGUUCAUGCUGCUGUGUCCUGUAGGGAGUUUGGUGUUGGAGCAUCCAUUGCUACCUCUGCAGAUCCUCUGUGUUUCUCAUCAACACCAGUAAAGAGACCAUCAAAGAGAGCUUGUUUGGACCUCGUGGAGGAGGGGGAGGAGGAUCCGUUAGAGGGCAGUUCGUCUUUGGCAACCUCACUAGGGCUAGAUGCUGCCUAUGACCCUGCAGACUCAGUCGCAGCCUUGGCAGAGUCAACACUGAGGUCAGAUGAAACAUCUACUCCCACCCACAAAACAAAAAAAUACAUAGUGUACGAAACCUCCUUAAUGGAGUUGUUCGAGGUGUGUCCUGUGUGCACGCGGGUGUAUGAUGUGCGGACUCAAAGGUCGGGGACAUUCCUGUCUAUGGAACAGCGGUGUCCCCAUUGUGAUUACCUCAGACGCUGGAAUAGCCAACCUAUUGUUGGAAGCACUCCAGCUGGAAACCUUCACCUUUCCGCAGCUGUAUACCUCAGUGGAGCAUCUUUCUUUAAAAUAGAAAGGGUGUUCAAGGCAAUGCAGCCGCAGCUGUUCCGUUAUAACACAUUCCGUCGCCAUGCCAGAACCUUCAUCGAGCCAGCAGUCAUCCACCAUUGGAAAGCACUGCAAGAUGUGACCCUGCAACGCCUCAGUGAGGAGACCAGAGUAGUACUUGGUGGUGACAUGAGGGCUGACUCUCGAGGGCACUCUGCUAAGUUUGGUAGCUAUACCAUGACGGACCUCAAUACCAACAAAGUCUUGGAUAUCCAGUUGGUUCAGAGCAAUGAGGUUGGUGGGAGCUACCACAUGGAAAAAGAGGGCCUGAAGAGGAGCCUUGCAUUAUUGAAUGCACGUGGUGUGACUCUUCACUGCAUUGUCACUGACCGCCAUCCUCAAAUCCAGAAGUUCCUCCAGGAGAGCAGCAUCACCCAGUACUAUGAUGUAUGGCACAUGGAGAAAGGAAUUUCUAAAAAGCUGACCAGAUAACGAAGAUGAAGGGCUGUGAAAAACUCCAGAAGUGGAUCAGAGGAAUAAAAAACCACAUAUACUGGACCGCAGCUUCAUCAACCACUGGACCAGAGAGAGGCAAAGUGGACCUCAACCAUGAACCAUGUCCAAAACAUCCACACACAUGAAAAUCCUCUGUACCCCCAGUGCCAGCACCCACUGCGCCAGACAACGGACAUGGGUAAAUGGAUUUCAGAAGAAAAUCCUGCCUUAUACCGGCUGGAGAAGGUGCUGACAAACAAGAGGACUUUGAAGGAUGUCGAGAAACUGAGCCCUCAUCACCAGACUUCAUCUGUUGAGGCUUUCCACAGCGUCAUCAUUCGUUUCGCCCCUAAAGGUGUCGUCUUUCCCUAUCUUGGAAUGCUGUGCAGACUCUACCUGGCUGCCAUGUACUAUAAUGAGAAUGCUGGCAGACCACAAGCCCAAACCACAGAAGGUGAACCUCUCUUCAAGGUUAACUUUCCAAAGGCCUUGAAGGGGGAAUGCAGAGCAAAACCAGUAAAAGUUGAGCCAACAUACCGUAGGGUAUGUUGAUGACAUCUUGGACCUCGUGCUGGAAAAAGUAUUUGUGGACCCGUCAUCAUACACUGAGGCUGUGCUUGCCAUCCCCAUCCCUGAAGACCUCUCGGCACAAUACGAGCGGCCUGACAGGGAGGAAGUCAUAGCCAGCCAUGUGUCGCGGUUUAAUCGAGGGGAGGUCUAAAACCCACAUACUGAUUCUGGGCAUCAGGAAACUCUGUGCGGAUCCGUAGCACCACACAGGAUGGAAUGACCAUUCGGAUUUUGCGCCCAAGGAAGCCCCAGCACCAGCUUACAAAGCUCCUGUAGGCCGGAUACCUGUAGCGGCUGCAGAAAUUGAACAGUAUUACUGUGUGAAAAAUUGUAUGUGUGUCUGACCCUUUUUUUUUUUUUUAACCCACAUCUGUGGAUAGUUUUUACAGUGUAUUUUUUAUGAACAGCAGCAUUUCUGAUAUUUGCAAAAUUGCUAUUAUAUUUGCACAGAUUGUACAUUAUUUCAUUUGAAUAAAUCCUGAGU